rnacentral:rRNA from 1 species
GUGGGGAAUUUUGGACAAUGGGGGAAACUGACGGUACCUGCAGAAUAAGCACCGGCUAACUACGUGCCAGCAGCCGCGGUAAUACGUAGGGUGCAAGCGUUAAUCGGAAUUACUGGGCGUAAAGCGUGCGCAGGCGGUUCGGAAAGAAAGAUGUGAAAUCCCAGAGCUUAACUUUGGAACUGCAUUUUUAACUACCGAGCUAGAGUGUGUCAGAGGGAGGUGGAAUUCCGCGUGUAGCAGUGAAAUGCGUAGAUAUGCGGAGGAACACCGAUGGCGAAGGCAGCCUCCUGGGAUAACACUGACGCUCAUGCACGAAAGCGUGGGGAGCAAACAGGAUUAGAAACCCUGGUAGUCC